rnacentral:rRNA from 1 species
AUACGUAGGGUGCGAGCGUUGUCCGGAAUUACUGGGCGUAAAGAGCUCGUAGGUGGUUUGUCGCGUCGUCUGUGAAAUUCCGGGGCUUAACUCCGGGCGUGCAGGCGAUACGGGCAUAACUUGAGUACUGUAGGGGAGACUGGAAUUCCUGGUGUAGCGGUGAAAUGCGCAGAUAUCAGGAGGAACACCGGUGGCGAAGGCGGGUCUCUGGGCAGUAACUGACGCUGAGGAGCGAAAGCAUGGGUAGCGAACAGGAUUAGAUACCCUGGUAGUCCAUGCCGUAAACGGUGGGCGCUAGGUGUAGGGGUCUUCCACGACUUCUGUGCCGUAGCUAACGCAUUAAGCGCCCCGCCUGGGGAGUACGGCCGAAAGGCUAAAACUUAAAGGAAUUGACGGG